GCCGAAGUGGUGGAAUUGGUAGACACACCAUCUUGAGGGGGUGGCGGGUGCAAGCCCAUGCGAGUUCGAGUCUCGCCUUCGGCACCA
rnacentral:tRNA from 2 species